rnacentral:rRNA from 1 species
AGAGUUUGGAUCCUGCUCAGGACGAACGCUGGCGGCGUGCUUAACACAUGCAAGUCGAGCGGAAAGGCCCAUCGGGGUACUCGAGCGGCGAACGGGUGAGUAACACGUGAGCAACCUGCCCCUGGCUCUGGGAUAGCUCCGGGAAACCGGGAUUAAUACCAGAUGUGACUUCCUCCUGCAUGGGAGGGGGUGGAAAGUUU